rnacentral:rRNA from 1 species
ACUGAAUAGAUACCCGGGUAGUCCACGCCGUAAACGAUGAUUACUCGCUGUUGGCGAUACACUGUCAGCGGCUAAAGCAAAAGCAAUAAGUAAUCCACCUGGGGAGUACGGCCGCAAGGUUGAAACUCAAAGGAAUCGACGGGGGCCGCACAAGCGGAGGAACAUGUGGUUUAAAUUACGAUGAUACGCGAGGAACCGUCACCUGGGCGUUAAAUAGUAGAGUGCAUUUCUAGAGAUAGGAAUUCCCUUCGGGGUCGUUUCUUGCAAGGUAGCUGCAUGGUUGUCGUCAGCUCGUGCCGUGAGGUGUC